GAUGAACGCUGGCGGCGUGCUUAACACAUGCAAGUCGAACGAUGAAGCCCAGCUUGCUGGGUGGAUUAGUGGCGAACGGGUGAGUAACACGUGAGUAACCUGCCCUUAACUCUGGGAUAAGCCUGGGAAACUGGGUCUAAUACCGGAUAGGAGCGCCUACCGCAUGGUGGGUGUUGGAAAGAUUUAUCGGUUUUGGCUGGACUCGGGGCCUAUCAGCUUGUUGGUGAGGUAAUGGCUCACCAAGGCGACGACGGGUAGCCGGCCUGAGAGCGUGACCGGCCACCAGGGGACUGAGAGAGGGCCCAGACUCCUACGGGAGGCAGCAGUGGGGAAUAUUGCACAAUGGGCGAGAGCCUGAUGCAGCGACGCCGCGUGUGGGAUGACGGCCUUCGGGUUGUAAACCUCUUUCAGUAGGGAAGAAGCGAAAGUGACGGUACCUGCAGAAGAAGCACCGGCUAACUACGUG
rnacentral:rRNA from 1 species